AGCUGUGAUGGGUGAGCUCUGAGAGGCCUUUUCCUGAUUGGCCUCUGUUAACCUCAGUGCGCGUAGAAGGCUUGCUAACCAGCAGACAUCAGUGGACACUUCAGAGUCAGACCCAUAAGCCUGCUUGUCAGAAAAGAAAGGAGGGAGACUGAUGCUGCUCUCAAGAUCUUCCAGAAGUGAACCACCCCAGACUUGAUGCUCC
rnacentral:lncRNA from 1 species